rnacentral:rRNA from 1 species
UCAGGAAAGUNUGGAGUAAAAGGCUAUGGCUCAACCAUAGUGUGCUCUGGAAACUGUCUGACUUGAGUGCAGAAGGGGAGAGUGGAAUUCCAUGUGUAGCGGUGAAAUGCGUAGAUAUAUGGAGGAACACCAGUGGCGAAAGCGGCUCUCUGGUCUGUCACUGACGCUGAGGCUCGAAAGCGUGGGUAGCGAACAGGAUUAGAUACCCUGGUAGUCCACGCCGUAAACGAUGAGUGCUAGGUGUUAGGCCCUUUCCGGGGCUUAGUGCCGGAGCUAACGCAAUAAGCACUCCGCCUGGGGAGUACGACCGCAAGGUUGAAACUCAAAGGAAUUGACGGGGGCCCGCACAAGCGGUGGAGCAUGUGGUUUAAUUCGAAGCAACGCGAAGAACCUUACCAGGUCUUGACAUCCCGAUGCUAUUCUUAGAGAUAGGAAGUUACUUCGGUACAUCGGAGACAGGUGGUGCAUGGUUGUCGUCAGCUCGUGUCGUGAGAUGUUGGGUUAAGUCCCGCAACGAGCGCAACCCUUAUUGUUAGUUGCCAUCAUUAAGUUGGGCACUCUAGCGAGACUGCCGGUAAUAAACCGGAGGAAGGUGGGGAUGACGUCAAAUCAUCAUGCCCCUUAUGACCUGGGCUACACACGUGCUACAAUGGUCGGUACAACGAGUUGCGAGCCGGUGACGGCAAGCUAAUCUCUGAAAGCCGAUCUCAGUUCGGAUUGGAGGCAGCAACUCGCCUCCAUGAAGUCGGAAUCGCUAGUAAUCGCGGAUCAGCACGCCGCGGUGAAUACGUUCCCGGGCCUUGUACACACCGCCCGUCACACCACGAGAGUUUGUAACACCCGAAGUCGGUGAGGUAACCUUUUA